rnacentral:rRNA from 1 species
UACGUAGGUGGCGAGCGUUGUCCGGAUUUACUGGGCGUAAAGAGCGCGCAGGCGGUCGUUCAAGUCGCGUGUGAAAGCCCCCGGCUCAACUGGGGAGGGUCACGCGAUACUGAUCGACUCGAAGGCAGGAGAGGGAAGUGGAAUUCCCGGUGUAGUGGUGAAAUGCGUAGAUAUCGGGAGGAACACCAGUGGCGAAGGUCGACUUCCUGGCCUGUUCUUGACGCUGAGGCGCGAAAGCUAGGGGAGCAAACGGG